AUGCUGCGGCGGGGGGCGGCGGGAGGGCGGGCGCUGGCUGGGCUGGGGGUCCCGGCUGGGCUGGGGGUCCCGGCUGGGCUGGGGGUCCCGCCGCCUUCCCGCGGCCUCCGCGCCUCUCCCCGGGCGCGGUCCUCCAUGCCCUCUUGGGUGAUCGACCGGUACGGCCCCAACGAGGUGCUGCGCUUCACCAGGGACAUGGUGUUCCCCGUCAUACACUUCCCGAACGAGGUCAUCCUGAAGGUGCACGCCGCCAGCCUGAACCCCAUCGACCUCAGCAUGAGAAGUGGUUACGGGGCAACUGCCUUAAAUAUGAAGCGGGAUCCCCUGAAACUCAAAAGUGCGGACACUGAGUUUCCUCUAACCCUUGGUCGAGAUGUCUCUGGUGUUGUUAUGGAAUGUGGACUUAGUGUGUCUUAUUUCAAACCUGGAGAUGAGGUGUGGGCAGCAAUUCCCCCGUGGAAACAGGGCACUCUGUCAGAGUUUGUUGUUGCUAGUGGAAAUGAGGUGUCUUUUAAGCCAAGGUGUCUCAGUCACACAGAAGCUGCCUCCUUACCUUACGUAGGUCUCACAGCCUGGUCUGCAGUUAACCAAGUUGGAGGACUGAACCGAAAUAAUUGUGGUGGGAAAAGAGUAUUAAUAUUAGGAGCUUCAGGAGGAGUUGGUACGUUUGCUGUACAGCUGGUGAAGGCCUGGGGUGCUCACGUGACAGCAGUUUGUUCUCAUGAUGCCAGCACACUGGUGAAAAAGCUCGGAGCAGAUGAUGUGAUUGAUUACAAAUCUGGAAAUCUGGAAGAGCAACUUAAAACUUUACCCCUAUUUGAUUUCAUCCUGGAUAAUGUUGGUGGAUCGACGGAGAAGUGGGCUCUAGAUCUCCUGAAGAAAUGGUCAGGAGCAACAUAUGUUACCUUGGUGACACCUUUUCUGAUCAAUAUGGACAAACUUGGAGUGGCUGAUGGGAUGUUACAAACAGGAGUCACUGUUGGUUCCAAAACUGUAAAGCAUCUCUUGAAAGGAGUCCAUUAUCGGUGGGCGUUUUUUAUGCCAAGUGGCCCAAGUUUGGAUGAAAUAGCAGAACUUGUUGAUUCUGGAAAGGGGUUCACUUAUUCCUACUGUUCUGCCACAUAAAAUCUCACACUACUGUUAACUUUGCCUUCACAAAAUAGAAAGGAAACUCCAGUGCCGGGAUGAGGAGAUACUGCAGAGUAAUAGUUAGAUUACUGUUGUCUUGGGUUACUGUUCUCAUAGAAGCAAACCCAGCAGUUAUUUUAGUGCAAUGACUGGGCUUCAAGAUCCAACCAGUUAUUGAUGAAGUCUUCUCUUUUUCUGAAGUUCCAAAGGCCUUUCUGAAACUGGAAAGAGGACACGCACGUGGAAAAACAGUGAUCAAUGUAAUUAGUAAAAAAUAAAGUAUUUCUAAUCAUUA